GAUGAACGCUGGCGGCGUGCUUAACACAUGCAAGUCGAACGAUGAAGCCCAGCUUGCUGGGUGGAUUAGUGGCGAACGGGUGAGUAACACGUGAGUAACCUGCCCUUGACUCUGGGAUAAGCCUGGGAAACUGGGUCUAAUACUGGAUAUGACUUCUCAUCGCAUGGUGGGGGGUGGAAAGAUUUAUUGGUCUUGGAUGGACUCGCGGCCUAUCAGCUUGUUGGUGAGGUAAUGGCUCACCAAGGCGACGACGGGUAGCCGGCCUGAGAGGGUGACCGGCCACACUGGGACUGAGACACGGCCCAGACUCCUACGGGAGGCAGCAGUGGGGAAUAUUGCACAAUGGGCGCAAGCCUGAUGCAGCGACGCCGCGUGAGGGAUGACGGCCUUCGGGUUGUAAACCUCUUUCAGUAGGGAAGAAGCGAGAGUGACGGUACCUGCAGAAGAAACGCCGGCGAACUACGU
rnacentral:rRNA from 1 species